rnacentral:rRNA from 1 species
UUCCGUAGGUGAACCUGCGUAGGGAUCAUUACUGAGUUUACGCUCUACAACCCUUUGUGAACAUACCUAUAACUGUUGCUUCGGCGGGUAGGGUCUCCGUGACCCUCCCGGCCUCCCGCCCCCGGGCGGGUCGGCGCCCGCCGGAGGAUAACCAAACUCUGAUUUAACGACGUUUCUUCUGAGUGGUACAAGCAAAUAAUCAAAACUUUUAACAACGGAUCUCUUGGUUCUGGCAUCGAUGAAGAACGCAGCGAAAUGCGAUAAGUAAUGUGAAUUGCAGAAUUCAGUGAAUCAUCGAAUCUUUGAACGCACAUUGCGCCCGCCAGCAUUCUGGCGGGCAUGCCUGUUCGAGCGUCAUUUCAACCCUCAAGCUCUGCUUGGUGUUGGGGCCCUACAGCUGAUGUAGGCCCUCAAAGGUAGUGGCGGACCCUCCCGGAGCCUCCUUUGCGUAGUAACUUUACGUCUCGCACUGGGAUCCGGAGGGACUCUUGCCGUAAAACCCCCCAAUUUUCCAAAGGUUGACCUCGGAUCAGGUAG